GCGGUCUUUAUGGUCGUAUUCCGUUGGCACAACUUCUGCAGAUUAAGCUAUAGAAUGUUAUAUUCGUGACGACUUAGCAAGAAAACGACCAAUGCUGUACAGGUGACCACGAAGGAGUCCGCGUUCAUGAAUGCAUUGCGUGCGGGCUCAUGCUGUGUGUGUACAACUCAAGGAGCUCAACCAUGUCACCACCCAAGGAGCAACAAGUGGUUGGCAAGUCAAACAAGCAAAGCAAAUAAACAAUAUUUACGCAUUCAAUUAGAACCCACUAAUUGUAUCUUAACAUUGUUAAGUAAACUGUUGAAGAAGAACACGCCUUCGAUCAUAAA